GAUUUAUAAUCUUACCUAGAAUGACGUAAGAAUUAGUUAAUAGUAUGAAGCUUUUGCUCAUACGUCGGUGUCACGUUGUUCGUCAUUACCGUCCAUUUUCUCCAGUUCUGUUCGCGCUUCAGAAACGGAGUGAUUUUUUCCUGCGCACGUGAUACGAGCUUGGAAGUCCUCCAGAAAGAGAGAGAGAGAGUGGAAACAGUUCUAGGGGUGCUUUUAAUGCUUCAUGGAAAUGGAUUUUCCCAGGGUACCCUAUUGGAUGAGAAACCUGCCGGCAGCUAUUUUAACGCCAGAAAAAGUGGAUUAUCAUCAUUUUCCCACCUAAUCAACAACGUUGGAGCGUCCGGAGCCCUUAUCAGUUUUCGACGAUAUAUAACUGACCGCCGGUACAAGGUUCGGCACAACAUUUCGCGAUCCGCGUGCGAGGAGCUCGCUGGCAGAGCUCUUUUCUUCCACUCAAUAUAUUUAUUCGACUAUCAAUAUCCUAAACAUCAAUAAGUAUUAUUUAUUUAUUUAUUGAAUAAGUGAAAAUACACGUGUAUACUACAAUUUAAUAUACAUCGAAAGCGUCAAUAUUCGAGAAUGGCGAUAGUCGCGUAUCGUUGGGUUACCCUUAAUAUUCUUUCGCACCUGUUGAUUUGCGUUCAUCUCUACGCCAGCUUUACCAAUGCUGCUAAACUUGGGAGGUCCGCAGUUCGAUCUGACCUUUGUAAUAGUGAGAUUUACUGCACAGGAGAAUUGUUGAAAACCAUUCAGCUGACAAGGAUUUUCAACGACAGCAAAACUUUCGUUGAUCAUUAUCAACUCAACGAUCCAGCCGUUACACUUGCAAAUUUCAAUAAAUUGAUGUCGGAAACCGGUGGAAAGCCUGACAGAGAACAAAUAGUCAGGUACGUGAAUGAAAAUUUCGCGAUUGAGGAUGAAUUGGCGAACUGGACCCUCCCGGAUUGGCAAGAAAAUCCAGGGAUCUUGAAACGUAUCGAGGACCGGGAUUUCCGAAGUUGGGUCAGAGAUUUGAACGAACUGUGGAAAUUUUUGGCGAAAAAAAUUGGACCUGAGACAAUCGCCAAUCCACAAAGACAUAGUUUAAUUCCCGUUGACAAUGGCUUUAUUGUGCCUGGCGGUAGAUUUCAAGAGUUCUACUAUUGGGACAGCUAUUGGGUAAUUAAGGGUCUACUUAUCUCAGGAAUGAGGAGCACGCCCAGAGGAAUGAUCGAAAAUUUCUUAUCGAUGGUCUCUCGCUUUGGUUUCGUCCCAAAUGGUGGCAGAGUUUAUUAUCUCAUGAGAAGUCAGCCACCGUUCCUCAUCUCUAUGGUCGAGACUUAUCUCAGCUACGCCUUCGACAUGCAGUUCCUGAUCGACAACCUGCCAACGCUCGAAAAAGAAUUCGCAUAUUUCCAUGAUGAGAAGACCACAGAUGUCGUUGUGGGUGGGAAAACUUAUAGGAUGGCUCGAUACUACGUGGAAAGUGAUGGACCUCGCCCGGAAAGUUACAGAGAGGAUUACGAACUCGCUCAAAAGUUACCGCCCGGCACAGAUCAUGAGCGCUUUUAUGAGGACGUGAAGGCCGGAGCUGAGAGUGGCUGGGACUUCUCAUCACGUUGGUUCAUAUCGGCUGAUGGUGGAAUUGGUAAUUUAUCCCAGAUUGAGACUCGCAACAUAAUACCAGUCGAGCUUAAUGCACUUCUACAGAAAAACGCCAGGAUGCUCGCGAAAUAUAACAUUAUGCUUGGCAACGAUGCGAAAGCAAAGUACUACGUUAGCAUUGCUGAAGAAUAUCAACGAGGAAUCGACGAGGUGUUGUGGAACGAAGAGGAAGGCAUUUGGCUCGACUGGGACAUGAAAAAUGCACGGCAUAGGAAUCAUUUUUAUCCCACCAAUCUGAGUCCACUGUACACCAGAAGUUUUGAUUUUUCGAAGGCCUCGCUCUACGCUGCCAAGGCUGUAGUCUAUCUCGAGAGGAACAGAAUCGGUGAUUUUAUGGGUGGCAUACCAUCCUCUUUGCUUCAUACGAGUGAGCAAUGGGACUUCCCGAACGCUUGGGCACCUCUUCAAUCCAUAAUGGUGCAGGGUCUGAGAAAUACGGACGCAGAACCAGCUUUGAGUCUUGCCAGAGAACUCGCCACGCGAUGGCUCAGAGCAAAUUUCAUUGGGUAUACGGAAACUGGUGCGAUGUUCGAAAAGUAUGACGCUGAAGUCCCUGGCAGAUAUGGAGGCGGCGGCGAAUACCAUGUGCAGACUGGAUUUGGCUGGACCAACGGAGUUGUUAUAGAAUUCCUGGACAUUUAUCCCAACGCCACAUCCAGCGAUGCGCUGUAAAGCCCAUGCGAUGUAAUCAGAAUGCUUCGAGUCCCACACUCGGACGGAUUGCUCUCUCUCUCUCGCCGUGGUGGCCUCCCCAUCAGCAGUGGACUGAUUGGCUCAUUGUGUCUUAGCUGACCUCAGCUUCCUCAGCGUUCUCAGUGCCCACUUUCGUCCGGAGCUUUGGCGAAUGCGAUGCAGUGAAGAAUGAGUCGGCUGCAACCGCACAUUUGACAUAGAAACUUAAAAAAAACAUCCUCUUCGUUCCUGUAACUCUCGUGGCUGUAGCCAUUGUGAUCAUCUCGAAAUCACAAUAGAAAUUAUCUGCAGUUGAUCGAUGGACGAGCAAUAGUCUCUCACUGAAGUUACCAUGGAAAGUAUGAAGAUAAAAUUCGGUAGAAAAAAGCUUUAAUUAAUCAAUCGAAAACAAAUUACAGAGCUUGGCUAAACAAAUUAUUCUCGCAUGAACUCCUGAAGCCGCGUUAACUUCGGGGCCGAUCAAUCAAGCCAUCGGACGAUAAUAUUUGAUCGAAGGAAAAGUAAAUUGCAUUAAAGGAGGAUCGAAGAAUAUCCAAGUGAAAAGCAGCAGUAAAAUAUGGAAGGAAAUAGUGGUUUUCACAGGCUCCUGGUAAUUCGAAUACAUGAACGAAUUUAAUAAAUUACUUCUAAAUCUUCUAAAAGCCGCAUACAUGUGCGAUUAAUUAACGCGAGGAAUAGCCCAUCAUCUACAAGUUUACUGCAAGAUUUUACUCGUUUUUUGCCGGAGGCUGUCACUCUUGCAAGUUCUCGGUAUCGUAAUAUCGUUGAAAAGUUUUUUACUGGCUUUUUACUCGAACGAGCCUGUCGUUAGUGCUCUAUAUAAAUUUAUGUACGCAGAGUGCGACAGCUGAUUACUAGGAGAAUUCUAGCAAGAAUUGGAUUUAUCGAUUACUCGAAAGCAAUAGAUUCAUAGAAAUUUAGCUGCCGCUGCAUUAAGCGACGAUCAAUUCACUAUAACUUGCAUCAAACUUGCGUCGAGCACACCAGUUUUAUUAAAUUUUCAAUAAAAAAGUAAAUAUGAAAUGCAUUCGAAUGUCUCAAUAAUCCGCUCUUAGUGAAAUGAGUUCAGUGGGAAUAUUGCAAUAAACGUUUUUUUUUCAACAAUCAUAAAUUCAAAUUGGAUACAAGUUUUCGGAAAUUGAGGUUUUUGCUCGGCGCUGAGAUUGUUGAGCGGAAAAUGAAUGACAGUUUUUGCAUUAGCGAAAUUGUGUAAAAGUUCAUUCGCGUUUAAAACGAUCAUCCCUUGCUCUAUACAAGCAUUCUUCUGUUUUUCUACGCUGCUACGUCCAUUGAUAUGUGCCAGGCAUUUCAGACGGAGCUUUCCACUUCAAAUGCUCGAAAACAUCAAAAAACAAGACACUUGGAUAUCAAUCCCGGAAUACCCUGCCGACGCAACUGGAAAAGCUUCUACUUCCCGUAAACAAAGCCAAGCUCGAAUAGAUUAACAGUGAAAUAUAUUUUUAGAUAUCUCUGGCUAGCUACAUUUGCGAUUACUCUCGUUAAAGAUGCAAUCGCAGCUUCUACUUAUCCCAACAUUCAAUUACUACGCAUAACACAAGAACGUGAGCAUGUAGGAAGCUUAAAAUUAUUACGUUUGUUUCCAAAUCCUAAUCCAGUGGAAUAAAUCAUUAACGAUCGAUGUGUUUUCAUAAAUGCACACACGUGGAUAACCCUAUAACUUAAUCGAUUUAUGCAAAAACAGGGCGUUCCAUUGGAACUCAUUAGCGUGACAUUCCAAUUAUUACGCUUCCCUUCGAUUUCUUGAUAAAUCUAGUUGGAUCAUGGAUGAUUUUUCAAGAAAAUGCUCCGAAAAGAUGUUUACCAUUCUGCAUGAAUUUCCUCAACUCAUAUUGGACCAGUGGAUCCACGUAUUCUCGCAGCACAAGGACUAAAAACGCUUCUCGCAUUCGAUCAUUACCGAAGUAAUAACGAAGAGUGAAAAUUAAGAAAACUUUGAUUUACCGACGGAGCGAUGGUACACUUUUUGUAAAAACAAAAUCCAUCCUAAUGGCACGAAUUCGAGGUACAAAAUUUGAAGCUUCGAAUGAUACACAAAUUCGGGAUAAUUGUGUGGACUCGCGUAAUUCAUUAAAUAAAUUUAACACAUUGAAACAAGCGAGCAGAAAAGAAACAAUGAAUUGGAACACUUUUUGAUAAAUUGUAUGAUACAAAUAAUGCAACACCUAUACGUAGUAGCUUUUUAUACAUGUAGUGGAUCUUCGAUUAGCUCUGAUUAGUAAUUUUGAAAAAAAAUCAGUAUUCUUAUCGUUAAAACCGAGCAUGUGUUUAUAAAAAAAAAGAGAAGAGAGAGAGAGAGAGAGACCGAGAGAGAUAGUGCGUGUUGCUAGUACAACACACUGUUAAAAUUAUUUGUAAAUUAGUUCUUUAUUCAAUUCCAUCCUUAGAUUCAAUGCUUACAAUAAAAUUCAUGUUAUCUCUG
rnacentral:misc_RNA from 1 species